rfam:Pteropus alecto contig110652, whole genome shotgun sequence.
AGCUUUCCUCAGUGGCAGUAUUGUCACCAAUGAGAUUUAUCUGAAGUGCAAUUAUUGCUAAUUGAAAAGUAUUUCUAAUCUCAAUGACUUUCUGCAUCAUUCUUCUUGCUUGGUAGGCUUCAGUCAAGGUAUGUUAUCUUCUUGAUCUUCUACCCAAGA